AUUGAUGUUAAGACAUGCGAGUCAUAGUAGCAAGACAACGCAUACGGCUCAGUAACGCGUAGUCAACGUAACCUAUGGACGGACAUAACCUCGGGAAACUGAGAAUAAUGUCCGAUAGAACACUAUACCUGGAAUGGUUUGUGUUCCAAAUGAUUUAUCGCCGUAGGAUGGGAGUGCGGCAUAUCAGUUUGUUGGUGAGGUAAUGUCCCACCAAGAUUAUUACAGGUACGGGCUAUGAGAGGAGUAGCCCGGAGAUGGGUACUGAGACACGGACCCAGGCCCUAUGGGGCGCAGCAGGCGAGAAAACUUUGCAAUGUGCGAAAGCACGACAAGGUUAAUCCGAGUGAUUUGUGCAAAACGAAUCUUUUGUUAGUCUUAGAACCACUAACGAAUAAGGGGUGGGCAAGUUUUGGUGUCACCUGCCGCGGUAAAACCAGCACCUCAAGUGGUCAGGAUGAUUAUUGGGCCUAAAGCAUCCGUAGCCGGCUCUGUAAGUUUUCGGUUAAAUAGGUUUGCUCAACGUACAGGCCGCCGGGAAUAGUGCAGAGGUAGGGAGUGGGAGAGGUAGACGGUCCUUGGAAGGAAGGGGUAAAAUCCUAGAUCUUUUGAUGACCACCUGUGGCGAAGGCGGUAUACCAGAACACGUCCGACGGUGAGGGAUGAAAGACGGGGGAGCAACCCGGAUUAGAUACCCGGGUAGUCCCAGCUGUAAACUAUGCAAACUCAGUGAUGCAUUGACUUGUGGUCAAUGCAGUGCUGCAGGGAAGCCGUUAAGUUUGCCGCCUGGGAAGUACGUACGCAAGUAUGAAACUUAAAGGAAUUGGCGGGGGAGCACCACAAGGGGUGAAGCCAGCGGUUCAAUUGGAUUUAACCCC
rnacentral:rRNA from 1 species